UUCCAGUAGGCCGGCCAUACCGAGGCGAACUAGAGCCGUGGCCACACCAUGAUGAGGAGUCUAGGCCCACCGUUGCUUACUGUUGGAAGAAUGUGGGAGCUGUAAGAGGGGAUCCUGCACGCCGCUACAUGCGUUACAUGGACGACCUAGACUGCCUCACUCAAAAUCAGAUCUUCUGGACACCGUACAGUAGAGCCGAGCUGGACGAGUUGGAACUGAGUGAUAUUUGCACACGUGAUGCCGAACUGUGGAGGACUUGCGGGCCU